CCCUUAGAUGUCCUGGGCCGCACGCGCGCUACACUGAUGCAUUCAACGAGUAUUUCCUUGGCCGAGAGGCCUGGGCAAUCUUUUAAACCUGCAUCGUGAUAGGGAUAGAUUAUUGCAAUUAUUAAUCUUGAACGAGGAAUUCCUAGUAAACGCAAAUCAUCAAUUUGCAUUGAUUACGUCCCUACCCUUUGUACACACCGCCCGUCGCACCUACCGAUUGAAUGGUCCGGUGAAAUCUCGGGAUUGUGGCCAGUUCACUUUAUUGGGAGUUGGCUGCGAGAACUUGCUUAAACCUUAUCAUUUAGAGGAAGGUGAAGUCGUAACA
rnacentral:rRNA from 1 species